GAGUUUGAUCCUGGCUCAGGAUGAACGCUGGUAGCAUGCCUAACACAUGCAAGUCGGACGAACGUGAGUUCGUGGCGAACGGGUGAGUAAUACAUGAGUACCUACCCAAUAACAGGAGGGGGAUAACCAUUCCGGAAACGGUGGCUAAUACCCCAUACGCCGAGAGGUUAAAUGAUUUAUACAGUUUCCUUAUAUGAUUAAAUAAGCGUUACGAGAGAGAUCGCCUGUGGAUGGGCUUGUGCCUGAUUAGCUAGUUGGCGGGAUAACAGCCCCCCAAGGCCACGAUCAGUAGCUGGUUUGAGAGAAUGGUCAGCCACAUUGGGAUUGAGACACGGCCCAAACUCUUUAGGGAGGCUGCAGUGAGGAAUUUUCCGCAAUGGGCGAAAAUGCCUGACGGAGCAAUACUACGUGGGGGAUGCGCCACUUGUGGUGCGAAGGGCCGACCGGCCCGUAAACCUCUUUUCUCAAUGAAGAUUACGUAGACGGUAUUUGAGGAAUAAGCAUCGGCUAACUUCGUGCCAGCAGCCGCGGUAAUACGAGGGAUGCAAGCGUUAUCCGGAAUUACUGGGCGUAAAGCGUCUGCAGGUGGACCGAUAAGUCUAUGGUUAAAGAUCAAGGCUCAACUUUGGGAGGGCUGUAGAAACUGUCGGACUAGGGUAUAUAUAAGGGUAGAGGGAAUUUCUAGUGUAGCGGUGAAAUGCGUAGAUAUUAGAAGGACCACCAGUGGCGAAGGCACUCUACUAGGCAAUUACCGACACUCAUAGACGAGAGCUAGGGGAGCGAAAGGGAUUAGAUACCCCUGUAAUCCUAGCCGUAAACGAUGGAUACUAGAUUUUGUUUAUGCAGCUUCGUAGCUUACGCAUUAAGUAUCCCGCCUGGGUAGUACGCUCGCAAGGGUGAAACUCAAAGGAAUUGACGGGGGCCCGCACAAGCGGUGGAGCAUGUGGUUUAAUUCGAUGCAACGCGAAGAACCUUACCAGGGUUUGACUGCUUAUGGAUCUUUCAGAAGUGAGAGAGUGCCUUAGGGAACGUAAGCACAGGUGGUGCAUGGCUGUCGUCAGCUCGUGUCGUGAGAUGUUGGGUUAAGUCCCGCAACGAGCGCAACCCUCGUGUUUAAUUAGUGAAGGACUGCACACAUGCGUAGAGCGUGGUGAGUCCGAGACGUCGUGAAACCGACGCUUUUAUUAGACAGACCGCCGGUGUUAAAGCGGAGGAAGGUGGGGACGACGUCAAGUCAGCAUGCCCCUUAUACCCUGGGCUACACACGUGCUACAAUGGUGGGGACAAAAAGUUGCGAUUCUUGCGAAAGGGAGCAAAUCUUAUAAACCUCAUCUAAGUUCGGAUUGUAGACUGCAACUCGUCUACAUGCAGGUGGAAUCGCGAGUAAUCGCUGGUCAGCUAUACAGCGGUGAAUUUGUUCUCGGGCCUUGUACACACCGCCCGUCACACCAUGGAAGUUUGCUGCACCCAACACCGCUAGUCUAACCCUUUUUGGGAGGACUACGUUUAAGGUGCGGCUGGUAACUGGGGUGAAGUCGUAACAAGGUAACC
rnacentral:rRNA from 1 species